GCCUGGUGACAGAGCGAGACUCCAUCUAAAAAAAAAAAAAAAAGAAGGGUUCCAUUUUCUGUCUCCACUCACUGUGCCCACCUCUCUUCUGCUUACAACCCCUGCUGAAAUCGUUGGUUUCCAUUUUCACCAAACCAGUAAAAGUAUCCCAUACAUCUCUGUGGUCACAUCCAGGGGCCUUCUGACUUCUUUUGGCACUUGGUACAGGUGAGCCCCUCCUUGCUGGAACUCCUUACUCUUGGUUUUCAUAACACCACUUCCCUGGUCUUUAUAGUAUUUCUGGCCUCUUCUCAACCUCUUUUGUGAAUUUUUGGUUUUACCUCUGCUGUCUUUUACGUCUGUAUCCCCGGGAUUCUGACCUUGCUAUCAAGGUUCUUUGUCUACUCUUUCUACUCAGCUUGAGUGAUUUUGCUCACAACCAGGUUUUCAGCUGUCACCCCCCUGCUCUUUGUGCCAAGUUCUCUCGCCCAUUCUUUCUCUGGAGAGCUUCCUCCUGACCUCCAGACAUGCUCCCCGACUUGGCUAUACCCUUGGCAGAUCCGUCACGCUCAGCACUUCGGGCCUGCAUCUGUCUUCUUCCUCUCCACACCUCGGGACACGCCAGGAUUUCUGUCCUGCGCUUCACAUCUCAGUGGAUUGCAACACUGCAGGCAACUGCCCAGAGAGCAAAGCGUUAUCGCAGGGGCCUUCUGUCCCCAACUUGCCAACACCGCUGACACUUUCUCUGAAAUAUAUUCACCCCUGCCCUCUAAGCAGCCUCUCUCCCCACCCCAGUCGUGCUGCCAAAACCUAGGUUCAGAUGCAGAGAGGCCGUGGGUAAAUUUCCAGCCUCCUGCUUCCAUCCUCUCCCCAUCUACGCUGGCUUUCAAAAAAAUCUGAACAGAUCUUUGUGUCCCACAGAUAGGAUCAUGCUUUCCUCAGCAGAACUUGUCCUGAGCUCCCCGUGGGCUAUAGGACAAAGCCUAGUGUCUUUUCCCUGAAGCCAAGGCCCUUCAUUGAGGUUCCCACUGCGGUGUCCUCGAUCCUGCGAUCUAUGCUCCUGUAGCUCGGACUUGCUUGCCACACUCUCUACUGAAGGCACCCCUCUUCCAUUUGUCCUUCUAGCAGAUGCUUCCUCUUCCAAAGGACGCAGCUCCGAUGUGCCUUCUGGGAGGCACCACAGAGAUGCUUGGCACGCGUCUCCCACUGCCCUUCCUUCUCGACUUCACUGCAGGAAUCGCCCUGCAGUGGCACCACUUCUUCUCAAGUCUGACAGUAAGCCCCUGCAGACCAGAUGCCACAUCUUCCUACAGGACAAGGUCAUGCUGGACAGGGUGGACCCCUCAUCCAAUAUGACCAGAGUCCUCACAAGAAGACGGUGUGAGGACACAGAGGACACCAUGUGACAGCAAAGGCAGAGGCUGAGUUUUGCCAUCGCCAGCCGAGAUCACCAAGGGCUGCAGCCACACAGAAGCUGAACGAUGGGGACUGGUGACAGCCUGGCCCUGCCGCACCUCGAUUUUGGACCUGCAGUGUCCAGCACUGUCAGUGAACACAUGUCUGUAGUCUGAGCCAGUUUGUGGCAAUAUGCUACAGCAGUCCUGAGAAACUAACAGGCAGGAGAUGAAUGUCCAAGGCUGUGCGUUUCUUCGAAGGGUGAAACCUGGCUGCUGUGUGGCCUCGUUCACCAUACCAUCCGGGUUAACACUCCGGUAGUUUGGCUUGCCAUAUGAAGGAAGCAUUAGUAAAAACGAAUGCGGGAUGGCUCCGCGCUGAGAUGGGACAAAUUGUUUGUACAUUGUGGUGAAUUCAUACAUAAAAUUAUUGGUCUUUUGCCAGCAACACUACCCUGUAAUUAGGUGUCUUUCAUUUGUGAAAGGGUGUGGCGAAUGUUGGUUUAAUGUUGGUCAGUUUAAUAAAAACCGAUUUGCCAAGAUUUAAUUCUGCAGAAAUAAAAUUUGCCUGAUGAUAAAUUCA